CAAUGACAAACUUAUUCAAAAUGAUACCCGAGGGGAGCUGAAGAUCUCUGCAGUGUCAAAGUCUGAUGAAGGUUUCUACAAGUGUCAGUACUCAGGAAGAGAGUCAGCACAGAGCUGGAUGUCAGUUAAAGUAACUGUGUCAGGAGCUGACGGCUCUUCAUCUCCUGUGUGGUUGAUUGUUGGACUGGUUUGUGGAGUCUCUCUCAUUAUUAUUCUCCUGCUCUUGUUGUAUCGCUGCAGACAGUCCAAGUUUGCAGAUGAAACCCAAGAUGUCACAUAUUCUCUCAUUAAGCUUAAAGAUUUUGAAAAGAGGAGGAAGCAUCACAAACCAGAGGAGUGUGUUAUUUACUCUGAGGUAAAGACAAGAGCUGCAGAGGACAGUCUGAUGUAUGCUGAGGUCAAACAGCCCAAAAAAGAAAAAGCCAAGAAAAACAAAGGAAAAUCAAGUCCUGCAGCUGAUGCAGCAGUUUAUUCUGAAGUCACAUCAGGAAGCUCUUUCAGUAAUUCUGCUGCCAUGCAGGCUGAUUUAUUCUUCACAUUAUUAAAUGUCUUCAGCUCAUAAUAUCUUUACAUGUUGGAAAUCACUUUGUCUUUUUGUGCUUGUCUUACAGGUCAGUGAGGAGAGCUGUAGCAGCAAAGCCAAGAAGAAGCUUUUUAUGAAGCCACUCUUGCUCCUCUGAUAUCUAUGCUCUCAUUUUUAUGAAGAUUAUAUAUUUUUAAAAUACACUUUUUAAAAAGAAAUAUUCAUUGUUAAAGGUUUUGUAUAAAACUUUGAAUGUAUCCUGUUCCAACAGCUGCAAAAAAAAAAAUAGUUUGAAAUAUGUGAUCAUAUAUUUAUUUUUUUAAUAUAGCGCAACUUAAAGUCAGAGUUGUUUGCCAUGACUUUUGUUGCCAUGAAAACUGGAUACUGCUGGACUUCAGGUUUGCUCUGGCCAUUUUACUUUAGUUAUUUUGUUUGUCCUUUCUUAGUUUUAUCGUCUUUUGUUAUUCUAUUUGAGAAGGAUUUAUCUUUUAGCUCUUUUUAGAGUCAUUUUAUAUAUUGUGAAUAAAAUAAAUGUUCUUA
ensembl:lncRNA